rnacentral:rRNA from 1 species
AAUGUACGUUGGCGGCGUGGAUUAGGCAUGCAAGUCGUGCGAGAACCGUAGCAAUACGGGGACAGCGGCGAAAGGGAGAGUAAUGCGUGGAUACCUACCCCCAGGACCAGGAUAGCCGCGGGAAACUGCGGGUAAUACUGGAUAAUAUCUCCGGAUCAAAGGUGUGAUUCCGCCCGGGGAUGGGUCCGCGUCCUAUUAGCUAGUUGGCAGGGUAAUGGCCUACCAAGGCAAAGAUGGGUAUGGGGCGUGAGAGCGUGCCCCCACUCACUGGGACUGAGACACUGCCCAGACACCUACGGGUGGCUGCAGUCGAGGAUCUUCGGCAAUGGGCGCAAGCCUGACCGAGCGACGCCGCGUGCGGGAUGAAGGCCUUCGGGUUGUAAACCGCUGUCAGAGGGGAGGAAAUGCCUUGGGGUUCUCCCCAGGGUUUGACCUAUCCUCAGAGGAAGGACGGGCUAAGUUCGUGCCAGCAGCCGCCGCCGUAA